GGCCAGACUCCUACGGGAGGCAGCAGUGGGGGAUAUUGCACAAUGGGGGAAACCCUGAUGCAGCGACGCCGCGUGGGCGAAGAAGUAUUUCGGUAUGUAAAGCUCUAUCAGCAGGGAAGAAGAAAGACGGUACCUGACUAAGAAGCCCCGGCUAACUACGUGCCAGCAGCCGCGGUAAUACGUAGGGGGCAAGCGUUAUCCGGAUUUACUGGGUGUAAAGGGGGCGCAGACGGCAGCGCAAGCCAGGAGUGAAAGCCCGGGGCCCAACCCCGGGACUGCUCUUGGAACUGCGCGGCUGGAGUGCAGGAGGGGCAGGCGGAAUUCCUGGUGUAGCGGUGAAAUGCGUAGAUAUCAGGAGGAACACCGGUGGCGAAGGCGGCCUGCUGGACUGCGACUGACGUUGAGGCCCGAAAGCGUGGGGAGCAAACAGGAUUAGAUACCCUAGUAA
rnacentral:rRNA from 1 species